UGAUGGGCUGGCACAGGAUAAGUUGUCGUUGAUGGGCCAGUAGGAACAUGUUUCAUGCGCGAACCUGGGCCUGUUCGAACAACAUGUUCAAGUCCGAAAAUUUCCAUCCACCCAUGGCGACGAGUGGUAUUGGUUUGAAGCCCGUGGGUAUAUGGCAGAGCUGCUAGGAUUUGAAUCGGGUGAGUAAAAAAAGAAAAAGAAGAGAGCAAAUGUCAUCGGGAGCCGUCUCUGUUCCCGGCGGCGG
rnacentral:lncRNA from 1 species